UGACCUCCAAAAGCAGGGCCCGGCCUGCCUUGUGUCUGCCCAGCUGCCGCUCCAGCGGACAAAACCCGGGGCCUGUGCCGAGAACUCAGCGUCCCCGGGGAGAGGCUUCAGGGCAGCCCCAGGGGGCCGAACGCAGCCGGUCCCCACCCCAGGCCGCGCUGAACGGAGCGGGCGCCGGGCCCCCGGGCGCAGGGCGGCGGGACUGACCUGUCUGGAGAUGGCGAGCUGCAGGGCCAGGUAGAAGGCGGCCUGGUGGUCGGUGGGCGACAGGCUGUGGGCCCUGCAAGAGCGUGGGCAGCGGUUAGGGCAUCAGGGGCUCCCAUCGGCGCUUUCCCUUACACCGAGGCCCCAUAUUAACAACCUCUAUGUUGCACACAAAUGACAGUAUUUGACAGCCCUGAGAUCAUCGCAGUCUGUCUCCAGUAAGUUCUUCUAAGACCCCAUUUGGCGCGGCACUGACAUAAACUGCAGAUUCCUCUUGGCCCGUGUUUGCAUGGCCCAUCUUUUGACACCUCUUUACUUUCGCAUUUUCUAUAUUCUUAUAGCUCAGUGACCUCUCUUGCAAACAGAUUAGAGUUAAAUUGCUUAUAAACCCAGGGUUGCUGUCUUUGUCUAGCUCUAUAAGACAGCCACUUAUAAUUAUUAUACUGAUUCAUAUAUUUGGUUUUAAGUAUUUCCUUUUUGGGGUGCUUUCUAUUUUUCCUCCCGGAUCCCGGUUUCUUUCUGCUUUCUUUCCUUAUUUUGGAAUUAUUACUUUCUAAUCAGCUUUAACUUUUAAACCAGUCAUACAUGUUGCUAAAGGUUUUAAAAUGCUCAGAAGAGUGGCUGGCGCAGAGUAAAUUCAGUCAGCAUGUUGCUGCUGGUGUUGCUUUCAUCAGAGAAGCAGACGCUGCUGGAGGACCAGGUCUGCCGUGGGGAGCCCCGGGACGGGGGCAGGGCAGAGGAGGGUGGGAGGGAGCCCCCAGGCGGGAAAGGGGAGAUGAGAGCUGGAUGCUGGGCUUUCUUCUCUUCCAGCGCCCAGCGGAGAGACGGUGGAGCAGGCCCAGGGUCCACGGAUCCCUGAGUCACCCACACGCAACAGCGGCGCCACCUCCAAGCCGUCUCCCUCGUGAGAAAAGAAGGCGGGCUUGGCGACAGUUAUUACUUCUACCAGGAGAGAGAGGCCCGUCCACUGCCAACAUCCUGCUGCCACCUCUCUAA
rnacentral:lncRNA from 1 species